rnacentral:rRNA from 1 species
GACGAACGCUGGCGGCGUGCUUAACACAUGCAAGUCGAACGGAAAGGCCCUGCUUUUGUGGGGUGCUCGAGUGGCGAACGGGUGAGUAACACGUGAGUAACCUGCCCUUGACUUUGGGAUAACUUCAGGAAACUGGGGCUAAUCCCGGAUAGGAGCUCCUGCUGCAUUGUGGGGGUUGGAAAGUUUCGGCGGGUGGGGAUGGACGCGCGGCUUAUCAGCUUGUUGGUGGGGUAGUGGCUGACCCAGGCUUUGACGGGUAGCCGGCCUGAGAGGGUGACCGGCCACAUUGGGACUGAGAGACGGCCCAGACUCCUACGGGAGGCAGCAGUGGGGAAUAUUGCACAAUGGGCGGAAGCCUGAUGCAGCAACGCCGCGUGCGGGAUGACGGCCUUCGGGUUGUAAACCGCUUUCGCCUGUGACGAAGCGUGAGUGACGGUAAUGGGUAAAGAAGCACCGGCUAACUACGUG